rnacentral:rRNA from 1 species
UAGGGAAUCUUCGGCAAUGGGGGCAACCCUGACCGAGCAACGCCGCGUGAGUGAAGAAGGUUUUCGAAUCGUAAAGCUCUGUUGUAAAGUCAAGAACGGGUGUGAGAGUGGAAAGUUCACACUGUGACGGUAGCUUACCAGAAAGGGACGGCUAACUACGUGCCAGCAGCCGCGGUAAUACGUAGGUCCCGAGCGUUGUCCGGAUUUAUUGGGCGUAAAGCGAGCGCAGGCGGUUUGAUAAGUCUGAAGUUAAAGGCUGUGGCUCAACCAUAGUUCGCUUUGGAAACUGUCAAACUUGAGUGCAGAAGGGGAGAGUGGAAUUCCAUGUGUAGCGGUGAAAUGCGUAGAUAUAUGGAGGAACACCGGUGGCGAAAGCGGCUCUCUGGUCUGUAACUGACGCUGAGGCUCGAAAGCGUGGGGAGCGAACAGGAUUAGAUACCCUGGUAGUCCACGCCGUAAACGAUGAGUGCUAGGUGUUGGAUCCUUUCCGGGAUUCAGUGCCGCAGCUAACGCAUUAAGCACUCCGCCUGGGGGAGUACGACCGCAAGGUUGAAACGUCUAAAGUGAAUU